AAUUGCGGUUAUGUUCAAUUUUUACGUAAAUAAUAAUUAUACGUUAAUUUGAUAAUUUGUAUUUUUUUAAUUUUACUUUUUAGUAUUUACGUUCUAAGUAGUUAGUUUUUGUAUAAUUAAAUAAUAUGUUCUUUACCCUGUACAGUAUACAAAUUACAGAUUUAAACAGUUCUCUUUAGAUGUGGUCUUCAUCAGUCAUUCUUAUAGUCAUUGGAAACAACCGGUACAAUGUAUCGAUAAAUAAUUGAAACCAUUGCAAAAAACAAGUUAAAUUCAUGCUAUCUACAACAUUCAUAUUCAAAUCUUCAUAACUUAAAUCAUUUAGCAAGAUACAGUAACUGAAGUAUACAUGUAUUCAGGCCAAUAAGGAGAUUAUUCUGUUUGGAAAAACAUCUGAAAAAACUGUUCCUACUAACAUAAUUGUUUAUCCGUCUGCAAAGAAGAGAUUCCAGAUAAAUUAGUAUAAUAGUGACUAACAUGGACUACUCAAAAAAGAUGUGUUGUUCGCAUACAAACUAAUCGCUAUCCAGCAAGUUGUCAAUAUUACUCUAUUGAUAAAUAUCUGAUAAUUGAUUAUCAAACAAAGUU